rnacentral:rRNA from 1 species
UACGUAGGGGUGACACGUUGUCCGGAAUUAUUGGGCGUAAAGAGCUCGUAGGCGGUUUGUCGCGUCUGCUGUGAAAACUCGGGGCUUAACUCCGGGCCUGCAGUGGGUACGGGCAGACUAGAGUGCGGUAGGGGAGACUGGAAUUCCUGGUGUAGCGGUGAAAUGCGCAGAUAUCAGGAGGAACACCGGUGGCGAAGGCGGCAUCCUGGACCAACACUGACGCUGAGUGAGCGAAAGCCAGGGGAGCAAACGGG